GCGGGUGUAGCUCAAUGGUAGAGCCCCAGCCUUCCAAGCUGGUUAUGCGGGUUCGAUUCCCGCCAGCCGCUCCA
rnacentral:tRNA from 1 species